rnacentral:rRNA from 1 species
UAGGGAAUCUUCCACAAUGGACGAAAGUCUGAUGGAGCAACGCCGCGUGAGUGAGGAAGGGUUUCGGCUCGUAAACUCUGUUGUUAAAGAAGAACAUAUCUGAGAGUAACUGUUCAGGUAUUGACGGUAUUUAACCAGAAAGCCACGGCUAACUACGUGCCAG